UACAGAGGUCCCAAGCGUUGUUCGGAUUCACUGGGCGUAAAGGGUGCGUAGGUGGUUAGGUAAGUCCGAUGUGAAAUCUCCAGGCUCAACCUGGAAAUGGCAUUGGAUACUAUUUAGCUUGAGGAGUGGAGGGGGGACUGGAAUUCUCGGUGUAGCAGUGAAAUGCGUAGAUAUCGAGAGGAACACCAGUGGCGAAGGCGAGUCCCUGGACAGUUCCUGACACUGAGGCACGAAGGCCAGGGGAGCAAACGGG
rnacentral:rRNA from 1 species